CAGAGUUAUUCUACUCUCAAACCCAUGUGAACUUACCACUGUUGCCUCGGCGGCAGGUCUCCCCCGCUCAGCGGGAGGGGCUCCGCCGGUGGACUACUAAACUCUUGUUUUAUCUGUUUCUCUGAGUAAACUAUAAAAUAAAUCA
rnacentral:misc_RNA from 1 species